rnacentral:rRNA from 1 species
GACGAGCGCUGGCGGCGUGCUUAACACAUGCAAGUCGAACGGAAAGGCCCUGCUUUUGUGGGGUGCUCGAGUGGCGAACGGGUGAGUAACACGUGAGUAACCUGCCCUUGACUUUGGGAUAACUUCAGGAAACUGGGGCUAAUACCGGAUAGGAGCUCCUGCUGCAUGGUGGGGGUUGGAAAGUUUCGGCGGUUGGGGAUGGACUCGCGGCUUAUCAGCUUGUUGGUGGGGUAGUGGCUUACCAAGGCUUUGACGGGUAGCCGGCCUGAGAGGGUGACCGGCCACAUUGGGACUGAGAUACGGCCCAGACUCCUACGGGAGGCAGCAGUGGGGAAUAUUGCACAAUGGGCGGAAGCCUGAUGCAGCAACGCCGCGUGCGGGAUGACGGCCUUCAGGUUGUAAACCGCUUUCGCCUGUGACGAAGCGUGAGUGACGGUAAUGGGUAAAGAAGCACCGGCUAACUACGUG